UUACGGUCAUAGCACGUUGAAACACCGGUUCUCAUAUGAUCACCGAAGUUAAGCAACGUCGAUCCUGGCCAGAAUCUAGAUUGGUGACCGCUUAGGAAUACCAGGUCAUGCAA